UCAUGAUGAGCAAAAUAGUAAGCCAUGGAAAUAAUUGGCUAGAAAGAGGGAAGACUAGAGAAUUAGCAAUGGAAGUGUCAAUUUUUACCUAUUUAAAUUAUGAAAUUAGUUUAAUUAUUCAGCUAAUAGAUAAUUAAAAAAUAUCGAAUCAUAUUAUAUGGUUAAACACAUUUUUUUUGUCUUCAUAAAAUUUUAGAAAACUGACUGCCUCACAUUUGUUUUCUGUAUUUACUUAUAUGUGAAUUUGUUUGAACACCUAAUUUUUUUUACUCAUUUGAUCUUUUAGUUACAUUUGAUAGUCCUGAAGGUAUCAAUUUCAGUUCUUUUCAUGAUUUUUAAUCUGCAGCAUUAGCUAUAUGUAUGUAUAUUGUUCCUUUUUUAUUUGUUUACUUUUUUAACUAUCUAUCUAGACUUAUGUACUAACAGCCAAUUCACUUCUUAUGCAUGAUUAAUUUAGAGAUGCUUUCUGUGCAUUUGUUUCAGGAAACUUUACAGGAGAUGGACUCACAGAUUCUUUGCAAGGGUUGCCAAGCACUGAGGUCUAUCAGAUUUAAGGUAUUUAAUAAAUGAAACUGCGAUUGUCAGAGUUAUCAAGUUAGUUGCGGAGAGUAUUGCAGUAGCAUCACCCUUUGGACUUUUUCUCUAAUGUGAAAGACAAUCUUUUGUAACUUGCCGGUGGAGAAGUUUCUCUACCAUUUUUGCAAGGUUAGUCAUCUAGUUUUCCAUUUUCUUUGUGAUUUGUAAUGUCAAGUGUCUCUGUGUCCUUGACUAACUACCCACAGGGCGGCUAAUUUUACAGAAUUCAAUUGGGUCACUGGUAUGUUCUUAAUCUGAUCUAUUAAACAUGUGGUAUUGAAAUGAACUGUCAUUAUACUUUUUGUCAUAUUUUUACCAUGAUUGCCAAAUUUGUUAUUUUUUUAUCAAUUGAUAAGAAGUUGAUCAUAACAAGGAUACUUUCUAUUGUAAAAUCAUAUGGUUCUUCUCAUGUAUGAUAGUAAAAAUGCAGUUUACACCAUAUCAUUAAUAGAGUUUGGAAUUCUCCGGGUCAUUAAAUAUUUUAUUGCAUGGCAGUAGACCACAAUGCCCUCUGGUUUUUUAUGUGGAAGGACAUUAUUGUCAUGUAGGAUUUUGAUGCAACCUGCAUCACUUGGCGACUUGGCGUGUUUAAUACAAAACACGGGUUUAGCUAUUUGUACUGUUGGAGUGGACAUAUCUCAUAGCUAAUGUGAUUUUUUGAUGAGUUCCCAUUUUAAGCAAGAUUGAGCUUCAAAACAGUGGAAGUGAUGCCUUUUCCACUGUUAUAGGUGAGAGGGUCCCGGUCGUGCACUUGUUUAUGGAAGAGGGGUUACGAGAAGCAAACAGAGAAGGAAGCAGUUCUUCAAUAAUUUUGAUGGAAUAUUUUCCGUUUUCUAAUUUUAGUGAAUAUUUUUUGUUUGUGAUGUAAUGAAUGAAAUAUUUUUGUG